AUUGAACGCUGGCGGCAGGCCUAACACAUGCAAGUCGAACGAGUGGCGGACGGGUGAGUAAUGUCUGGGAAACUGCCCGAUGGAGGGGGAUAACUACUGGAAACGGUAGCUAAUACCGCAUACCAUCGGAUGUUCCCAGAUGGGAUUAGCUAGUAGGUGGGGUAACGGCUCACCUAGGCGACGAUCCCUAGCUGGUCUGAGAGGAUGACCAGCCACACUGGAACUGAGACACGGUCCAGACGCCGAAGGGAGGGAGCAGUGGGGAAUAUUGCACAAUGGGCGCAAGCCUGAUGCAGCCAUGCCGCGUGUAUGAAGAAGGCCUUCGGGUUGGAAAGUACUUUCAGCGAGGAGGCGUUACCCGCAGAAGAAGCACCGGCUAACUCCGUGCCAGCCGCCGCGGGAAUAC
rnacentral:rRNA from 1 species